GCCCAGACUCCUACGGGAGGCAGCAGUGGGGAAUAUUGCACAAUGGGGGAAACCCUGAUGCAGCGACGCCGCGUGAGCGAAGAAGUAUUUCGGUAUGUAAAGCUCUAUCAGCAGGGAAGAAGAUGACGGUACCUGAGUAAGAAGCUCCGGCUAAAUACGUGCCAGCAGCCGCGGUAAUACGUAUGGAGCAAGCGUUAUCCGGAUUUACUGGGUGUAAAGGGAGCGCAGGCGGUCUGGCAAGUCUGAUGUGAAAUACCGGGGCUCAACUCCGGGACUGCAUUGGAAACUGUCAGACUGGAGUGUCGGAGAGGCAGGCGGAAUUCCUGGUGUAGCGGUGAAAUGCGUAGAUAUCAGGAGGAACACCGGUGGCGAAGGCGGCCUGCUGGACUGCGACUGACGUUGAGGCCCGAAAGCGUGGGGAGCAAACAGGAUUAGAUACCCCAGUA
rnacentral:rRNA from 1 species